CUGAGUUUGGACUUCAGCUGAACACACAUCUUUGCUUAUCCUCUUACACUGCCCUAUCCUGCAUCUGUCACUGCCUUACAGCUUCCUCCCUCAACAAGUCACUUCCAUGAGACUCAGCCUCUGCUGCGGAGCUGUAACAUGACCCUAAGAGACUCCCUGCCUCGCUGCACCCACACAGCUGCUCUCCAGAGCUCGAGCUGAGCUUUAGCUCGCAGUCCACCACUGUUGAUCGCAGCCGUCACAGACCCGCCGCUGACUUCUACCCCUCUGGAUCCAGCAGGGUGUCUGCUGCGCUUCUCAUCCAGCGAGGCGCCCAUUGCCGCUCCCGACCGGGCUAGAGGCUCGCCGUUGUUCCUGCAUGGCUAAGUGCCCGGGUUCAUCCUAACUGAGCUGAACACUGGUCGCUGGGUUCUACAGUUGUCUUUCGUGAUCCACGGCUUCCAAUAGAGCUAUAACACUCGCCGCAUGGCCCAAGGUUCCAUUCCUUGGAAUCCGUGAGGCCAAGAACCCCAGAUCUAAGAACAAAGACCCGCCGGUAACAGGCCCGAGGAGGAUCCGCCUCCCUACAGCCAAAUGCUCUGCCCUGGCCUUCAGCACCCAAUUUCUACCCCAGCUGUAAUUUGCAACUCUGGAGAGCUGUUGAGUAAUGAAAUUGCUGGGUGAUUAACACACAGUCAACUAAGGAGAGCCUCGGCUUCCCUUCCCAGCCAGGAAGCCGCCUGGGACUCUUCCUUGAAGCAAUUCACCUUUCCCACCUGGCGAGGCUGGGCCUCCACACAGCACUGAGGGAUUGUGGGAUGAUGUCAUCCACUGGCAACCCUCUGGAGGUGACCUCAGCCAAGAGCAAAGUGAAUCCCAGGUGUGGUGCCAAGGUGAGCUCACCCACAAGGCCCCAGGAAGCCUCUCCCAGGCGUGGGUCCCUGUCUUCCUAACCAGAAUAAGCACAGAACAGGCUCCGCAGGACUAGAGGGCCACCCAGAACAAGGGGGCAGCGGUGCUGGGCAGGGACGGCGUGCGGCGCUCUGGCCAGGCUGGUUAUGUAAGGCUAGAACUGGCUGCUCCCAGGCUCCUUCCUGGAGGGCCCCCAGGCUGUGGGAUAAACACAGUUCAAUCACCUGGGCUGCCUGAUGAGGUCAAUAAAGCCGCCUUCGUGUCCAAGGCAAAUGUUCCCAGGCUGCUGGCUUCCUGCCACCCCAGCCAGCGCCACAAGCUCGCCCACAGCCACCCCAUGGCAAGGGCCUGCCAAGGCUAACUAACUUCAUUGGCUAGGGCUGAACUGAUUUUAAAAGGCCAACGGGCUGCCAGAAAUCAACCCACCUGGAAGAAAAGGAAAUUUUUUUGUGGAUUCAUUGUGGUUUGAGGACUUCCAUGGGCCUGACUCCCCUGUCACCAGUGUGGGCAGUGGGAAGGCCAAUGGAGGCAGUGGCAGACAGGUGUGGGCUCACCUCCUGGCUCUGCCACUUAGAAGCUGGGAGACCCAGGACACACUGCUUCACCUCUCCGAGCCUCAGUUUCCUCAUCUGUAAAAUUGGAAAAGCUUUCAAUCAGUUUGAAAAUAGGCAAAAUUAAUCUAUGGCAACGGAAGUCAGAAUAAUAGUGGUGGAAGCUCUGACUGGGAAUGGCUCAAGGGACCCUUCUUUGGUGAUAGAAUGUAUUAUGUCUUCAUCUGAGUGAUGGUUACAUGUGUAAACACAGGUGAAAUUCAUUAGGCCUCUACCUUAAGAUUUGUGCACUUUGUUGUAUGUAAGUUACAAACACCUCACUAAAAUAAGAAAAUAAGAAAGGAAAGGAAGGAGGGAGAGAGGAAAGGAGAGAGAAAGAGGAAAAUAAGGAUAAAGAUUCCAUCUACUUCACAGGGCUGCUGGAGGACUGCCAGGUCAAGCUGUUGGCUGCCCCAGGGCAGGAAAAUGAGUGAGUGAAUGAGUGUGUGUAUGUUAGUGAGUGUGAGUCAGUGAGUGAGUGUGCAUGUGUGAGACUCAGCUCUCUCUCGAGGGCUGAUUCCAGACCCUUCUUGGUAAAGAAAAUACAGUAUCGCGAGGGAAGCCCAAGCUACCAGGGUUCAAAUCCUGGCUCUGCCACCUCUUGGCUGAUUGACUUGGGCAAGGGGCUUCCCGUCCAUCAGUUUCCCCAGAUGUAAAAUGGGGACAAUCAUAGUAUCUAUGCCAUGGGGUUGCUGAGAAGAUCAAAUGAGAACAAGCGCAAUGCUAAGUGUGGUCUUAGUAAACAGUAAGUGCUCAAUAAAUGUCUACUGUUUUAUCCUUA